GGCGGACGGGUGAGUAACACGUGGGCAACCUGCCCUGCAGAUGGGGAUAACUCCGGGAAACCGGGGCUAAUACCGAAUAAUCAGUUCCUUCGCGUGAAGGAACUCUGAAAGACGGUUUCGGCUGUCACUGCAGGAUGGGCCCGCGGCGCAUUAGCUAGUUGGUGGGGUAAUGGCCUACCAAGGCGACGAUGCGUAGCCGACCUGAGAGGGUGAUCGGCCACACUGGGACUGAGACACGGCCCAGACUCCUACGGGAGGCAGCAGUAGGGAAUCUUCCACAAUGGACGAAAGUCUGAUGGAGCAACGCCGCGUGAGCGAAGAAGGUUUUCGGAUCGUAAAGCUCUGUUGUAAGGGAAGAACAAGUACGGGAGUAACUGUCCGUACCUUGACGGUACCUUAUUAGAAAGCCACGGCUAACUACGUGCCAGCAGCCGCGGUAAUACGUAGGUGGCAAGCGUUGUCCGGAAUUAUUGGGCGUAAAGCGCGCGCAGGCGGUCCUUUAAGUCUGAUGUGAAAGCCCACGGCUCAACCGUGGAGGGUCAUUGGAAACUGGGGGACUUGAGUACAGAAGAGGAAAGCGGAAUUCCACGUGUAGCGGUGAAAUGCGUAGAGAUGUGGAGGAACACCAGUGGCGAAGGCGGCU
rnacentral:rRNA from 1 species